rnacentral:rRNA from 1 species
GACGCACGCUGGCGGCGUGCCUAAUACAUGCAAGUAGGACGCAGUUGCGAACGGGUGAGUAACGCGUAGGUAACUACCUAUUAGAGGGGGGUAACUAUUGGAAACGUUAGCUACUACAGCAUACUGGUAGAUGGACCUGCGUUGUAUUAGCUAGUAGGUAGGGUAAUGGUCUACCUAGGCAACGAUACAUAGCCGACCGCAGAGGCAGAUCGGCCACACGGGGACUGAGACACGGGCCAGACUCCUCCGUGAGGCAGCAGUAUGGAAUCUUCGGCAAUGGGGGCGAAUCUGACCGAGCCACGCCGCGUGAGUGAAGAAGUUUUCGUAUCGUAAAGCUCUGUUGUUAAGGAAGCGGUACUUAACCAGAAAGCGACGGCGAACUACGCGCCAGCAGCCGCGGUAAUAC